rnacentral:rRNA from 1 species
AUACGUAGGUGGCAAGCGUUGUCCGGAUUUACUGGGUGUAAAGGGCGUGUAGCCGGGCUGGUAAGUCAGAUGUGAAAUCCACGGGCUUAACUCGUGAACUGCAUUUGAAACUGCUGGUCUUGAGUAUCGGAGAGGCAAUCGGAAUUCCUAGUGUAGCGGUGAAAUGCGUAGAUAUUAGGAGGAACACCAGUGGCGAAGGCGGAUUGCAGGACGACAACUGACGGUGAGGCGCGAAAGCGUGUGGAGCAAACAGGAUUAGAUACCCUGGUAGUCCACGCUGUAAACGAUGAAUACUAGGUGUAGGGGGUAUCAACUCCCUCUGUGCCGCAGCAAACGCAAUAAGUAUUCCGCCUGGGGAGUACGGCCGCAAGGUUGAAACUCAAAGUAAUUGACGGGG